GCCUACGUGGUGCAGCAGUGGGGAAUAUUGGACAAUGGGCGAAAGCCUGAUCCAGCCAUGCCGCGUGUGUGAAGAAGGUCUUCGGAUUGUAAAGCACUUUAAGUUGGGAGGAAGGGUUGUAGAUUAAUACUCUGCAAUUUUGACGUUACCGACAGAAUAAGCACCGGCUAACUCUGUGCCAGCAUCCGCGGUAAUACAGAGGGUGCAAGCGUUAAUCGGAAUUACUGGGCGUAAAGCGCGCGUAGGUGGUUUGUUAAGUUGGAUGUGAAAGCCCCGGGCUCAACCUGGGAACUGCAUCCAAAACUGGCAAGCUAGAGGACAGUAGAGGGUGGUGGAAUUUCCUGUGUAGCGGUGAAAUGCGUAGAUAUAGGAAGGAACACCAGUGGCGAAGGCGACCACCUGGACUGAUACUGACACUGAGGUGCGAAAGCGUGGGGAGCAAACAGGAUUAGAUACCCGAGUAGUC
rnacentral:rRNA from 1 species